rnacentral:rRNA from 1 species
GGAAUAUUGCACAAUGGGCGCAAGCCUGAUGCAGCAACGCCGCGUGAGGGAUGAAGGCCUUCGGGUUGUAAACCUCUUUUAGUAGGGAAGAAGCGAAAGUGACGGUACCUGCAGAAAAAGCACCGGCUAACUACGUGCCAGCAGCCGCGGUAAUACGUAGGGUGCAAGCGUUGUCCGGAAUUAUUGGGCGUAAAGAGCUCGUAGGCGGCUUGUCGCGUCUGCUGUGAAAACCCGAGGCUCAACUUCGGGCUUGCAGUGGGUACGGGCAGGCUAGAGUGUGGUAGGGGAGAUUGGAAUUCCUGGUGUAGCGGUGGAAUGCGCAGAUAUCAGGAGGAACACCGAUGGCGAAGGCAGAUCUCUGGGCCACUACUGACGCUGAGGAGCGAAAGCAUGGGGAGCGAACAGGAUUAGAUACCCUAG